rnacentral:rRNA from 1 species
CAUGGCCUUCCCAGCUCGUGCCGUGAGGUGUUAGGUUAAGUCCUGCAACGAGCGCAACCCCUGUCACUAGUUGCCAUCAUUAAGUUGGGGACUCUAGUGAGACUGCCUACGCAAGUAGAGAGGAAGGUGGGGAUGACGUCAAAUCAUCACGGCCCUUACGCCUUGGGCCACACACGUAAUACAAUGGCCGGUACAGAGGGCAGCUACACAGCGAUGUGAUGCAAAUCUCGAAAGCCGGUCUCAGUUCGGAUUGGAGUCUGCAACUCGACUCUAUGAAGCUGGAAUCGCUAGUAAUCGCGCAUCAGCCAUGGCGCGGUGAAUACGUUCCCGGGCCUUGUACACACCGCCCGUCAAGCCAUGGAAGUCUGGGGUACCUGAAGUCGGUGACCGUAACAGGAGCUCCUUAU